rnacentral:rRNA from 1 species
UACGUAGGGGGCAAGCGUUGUCCGGAAUCAUUGGGCGUAAAGCGCGCGUAGGCGGCCCGGUAAGUCCGCUGUGAAAGUCGAGGGCUCAACCCUCGAAUGCCGGUGGAUACUGUCGGGCUUGAGUACGGGAGAGGCGAGUGGAAUUCCUGGUGUAGCGGUGAAAUGCGCAGAUAUCAGGAGGAACACCGAUUGCGAAGGCAGCUCGCUGGAACGUUACUGACGCUGAGACGCGAAAGCGUGGGGAGCAAACAGG